rnacentral:pre_miRNA from 1 species
UGCACAAACUUGAAAUGGUGUAGAUUAUUAUGGUCAGCUGAUCCUACUGAUCUAUUCUACUUCAAAUUUGUGCCC